UACGGUCUUGACACGGGCUGUUGGGACUCUAUUUUGUAUGUAUCCAAAACAUUAUAUUAUAUAGAGGCAUUUGCAGAUUCGAAAAUGGAUUCAGCAGAUUCGGCAUUGGUUUCAACCGGUCAUAGCAGAGUGAUUGUUCUAUAGCAUUUUUGGUAGACAUAUUAACUUUAACUGAAGUGACGCCAUAUUUCAACAGUAACAACGUACUCCAAGAAGUUUUUUCAGGCUGUGACGUCUGCUAUAAAUGUGUAUCAGCUGUACCGAAUCAGAUUAUCGUCUUCCCUUCUGUCAGGAACUAACGGACAAGAUACGUAUCAACGUUUCAGUCAAGAAAGAUUACAUAGUAGUUAUCUAAUUCCCAGGAAUAUGACACCCAAACAGGAAGGCGGGCCAGAAAGAAAGCUAAAAUUAUUUGGAUCGCCGCUUCUAAAUGAACUCAUCUUUUUUACACUUUGCUUUUACUUUUGACAUUAAACGGAUCCAUACGUCAAGAGAAAAUCACUUGUAUUCGAGCUCCUGUGAUAUACAUGUAUUUCAAAUACAUAAUUACGAUACAA
rnacentral:lncRNA from 1 species